GUGGUCGUGGUGUAAAGGUUAACACUCCAGGUUGUGGCCCUGGCGAGUGCGGGUUCGAGUCCCGCCGAUCACCCUCCA
rnacentral:tRNA from 1 species